rnacentral:lncRNA from 1 species
CGGAAGUCGGGUCAUAGGGUCUCCGGAGUCGAGUGGGGUUGAGGAAGCGUUGAAGGCUGGAGCCGGUUCGUUGGCUAAGGCUGGUGGGGCGAGGAACUGGGGACGGCGGGAGUCCGGGCCUUAGACCCCUGCACACAUUCUGGCCAUUUUCCUCCUCCCUUUGGGCCUAAUCAGACUGUGCCUGACCCCGCCGGGUCGCGGACUGAGCGGGGGCACUCCCUCCUUGGCCCUAGCGCUCCCUAGCCACCUCUCGGAGUGGAGCCAGGCUAUCUGUUAAGUACCUUCCCCUUGAUCCCCAACCGCCUCCAGGUCUCCCCGAGGCUCCCAAGGAGCCUCCACUACUAAUGACUGCUUGGGGCUUGUUGGCUAUGUCGAGAAUUUUAAGGUCUUCUUGAAUUUUCCAGUUUAAGUGGCUGGGUGGAGACUUUGGAGAAAUUGCUCAACUUGUGUUUGUACAACUUCUCAUCUGUAAUUUGAGAGAGAAAUAAAUCCUAUCUCUAAGCCUCUCUUCAGCUUUAAAUUCGAAGAUUCUCAGAUUCUGUUGUAUAUUGAAUGUUGAUGUCCUGAUGGUGGGCAGAAUCCUCAGAACGAUUCAGAUCAAUGACAAAAUUUUAAAUAAUUUCAUUUGGCUCAUUACUCACUGUUCAUUAUCAUUCAUCUUUUGAAACUGAAUAGAACUGGAAGUUCAGGUUUAAGUGACAAAUCACAGUAACACAAUAUUAGUUAAACCACUUCAAAGUGUUAACUUGAGGAAUCUCAAUAUUUGAUAAUGUUGAAUCUUAGAAAUUCAGUUCAGCAGACACUGCUGGAGUAUUUCUGAGAGCAUAUUUAAAAUGUAGAUAAGGGCUGGGGCUGUAGCUCAGUGGUAGAGUGCUCGCCUCACAUGUGGAAGGCAUUGGGUUCAAUCCUCAGCACCACAUAAAAAUAAAACAUCACAUAAAAAUAAAAUAAAGGUAUUGUGUCCAUCUACAACUAAAAAAAAUUUUAAAAAAUGCAGAUGAGUUUAUUGGAGAGAAUUGAUGUUAAGACUUUGCACACACAGUUAAUUUGUAUUUUCUGAGUUUGCAGGUGAAAUCUGCAAUUCAGAUUAAGGAUGGCUUCCCAUUGUAUAGUUGAGGUUUCUGGAGCCCUGGGCAUCUUCAUUUGUAAGCUAAGGAAGAUUUUUAACUAGAUCUCUAAGAUUCUUUAGCUAUAAAAGUCUAAGAAUCUGGGGCUUGGGAUAUUAGCUCAGUUGGUAGAGUGCUUGCCUUGCAUACACACAAGGCCCUGGGUUCAAUCCCCAGCACCACAAAAAUAAAUAAAUAAAUAAAUAAAAUCUCUCUUUCUGUUUGAUGUGGAACAUUCAUUUAAAAAAAAAAGUCUGUCUAAGAGUCUGUAGUAAUAUUGAAUGAGCAUUUCACAUUGAUAUGGCUUUAGGGGAUCCCUGAGAUAUACAUUUCUCACUUUAGAUAUAGGAACUGACUGGAGAUGGAGAUUGUCUUUACUUUGGCCUUAUUUUCAGACUCCACAUUGAAAGGAGAGCACUCAGGGAAGAAGGGCCUACAUAAAGAAAGUUUAAGGAAAAAAAUGAAGGGAGCAGUUUGAUUAUCACCAUCCUUGAAUAAGGAAGGAGAAAAUAUGGAUUUUCCACAGCAUGAACUCCAGGUGACAUUUGAAAAGGUGCUAUCUAGUUCCAGAUAUAUUUUAACAUAAACCACAGAGCCAAUACCAGCAGAAAUUUAUGAGAUGAAUUGAAUCAGUGGCUAAGCUCUAGAGCAGGAAUCAGCAAACUUUCUGUAAAGAGCCAGAUGGUAAAUAUUUUAGGCUCUGUGGGUCAUAUGGUCUCUGUGGCAGAUAGUCUGCUGUUGUAGCACAAAAGUAGCCAUUCACAUAAAUGAAUGGGUGAGUCUGUGUUCCCAUGAAACUUUUUACUUACAAAACCAGGCAGUAGACCAGAAUAAUUAGAUUUGAAUUCUGGGCUGUUUUAAUCAUCCUUUCUCCCUAAAACUUAGUGGUGUAAAACAGCAACCAUUUUGCAGUUUUUCAUGAUUCUGUAGUCUACUAGGCAUGGCUAAUGGUAUUUCUGGUCUUGCCAGUGGCCACCAGGGAGGCUGUAUUUAGCUAGCAGUUUGGUGAGAGAAUGGGUCCAGAUAACAUGAGCAUGGCUGGGCCUCUGGCUCUCUCCUAUGUAGUCUGAGAGCUUGUCUCUCUUCAUAUUGUUUCCCCCAUGUCUCUGUAGCACAAUAGCUAAACUUCUUGCAUGGUAGUUUAGGGUAGUAAGAGUGCAUAACUGGAAGCCACAGGGCCUUUUUCAGGCUGAGGUCAAAAAUUUGCAUACCUCUUCUCUUGUGUCCUAUGAGUUAAACCUGAUCCAAAUGCAAGGUGUAGGUGGGAUCACCAGUGAAACACAUUAUGCUGCCUCUAAGGAGCUGAGUGAUCUUGGACAGAUUCCUUAACCUCCCUUAAGCUUUAGACUUUCCAUUUAUAAAAUAAAGUUGAUACCUUAUAGGGUUUUGGUGAAGCUACAAAUAAGAUGCAGAAAACUCUUAGCACACAGUUCCUAUUGUAUAGUGGCCAUUUAAUAAGUAGAAGCUGGUAAAG